AUUGAACGCUGGCGGCAUGCCUUACACAUGCAAGUCGAACGGCAGCACGGGAGCAAUCCUGGUGGCGAGUGGCGAACGGGUGAGUAAUAUAUCGGAACGUGCCCGGUCGUGGGGAUAACGUAGCGAAAGCUACGCUAAUACCGCAUACGAUCUACGGAUGAAAGCGGGGGAUCGCAAGACCUCGCGCGAUUGGAGCGGCCGAUAUCAGAUUAGGUAGUUGGUGAGGUAAAGGCUCACCAAGGCGACGAUCCUUAGCUGGUCUGAGAGGAUGAUCAGCCACACUGGGACUGAGACACGGCCCAGACUCCUACGGGAGGCAGCAGUGGGGAAUAUUGGACAAUGGGCGAAAGCCUGAUCCAGCCAUGCCGCGUGCAGGAUGAACGGUCCUAUGGAUUGUAAACUGCUUUUAUACAGGAAGAAACACUCCGACGUGUCGGAGCUUGACGGUACUGUAAGAAUAAGGAUCGGCUAACUCCGU
rnacentral:rRNA from 1 species